AGAGUUUGAUCAUGGCCCAGAUUGAACGCUGGCGGCAUGCCUUACACAUGCAAGUCGAACGGCAGCACGGGAGCUUGCUCCUGGUGGCGAGUGGCGAACGGGUGAGUAAUAUAUCGGAACGUGCCCUAGAGUGGGGGAUAACUAGUCGAAAGAUUAGCUAAUACCGCAUACGAUCUAUGGAUGAAAGUGGGGGAUCGCAAGACCUCAUGCUCCUGGAGCGGCCGAUAUCUGAUUAGCUAGUUGGUGAGGUAAAGGCUCACCAAGGCGACGAUCAGUAGCUGGUCUGAGAGGACGACCAGCCACACUGGAACUGAGACACGGUCCAGACUCCUACGGGAGGCAGCAGUGGGGAAUUUUGGACAAUGGGCGCAAGCCUGAUCCAGCAAUGCCGCGUGAGUGAAGAAGGCCUUCGGGUUGUAAAGCUCUUUUGUCAGGGAAGAAACGGUUGUGGCUAAUAUCCAUGACUAAUGACGGUACCUGAAGAAUAAGCACCGGCUAACUACGUGCCAGCAGCCGCGGUAAUACGUAGGGUGCAAGCGUUAAUCGGAAUUACUGGGCGUAAAGCGUGCGCAGGCGGUUGUGCAAGACAGAUGUGAAAUCCCCGGGCUCAACCUGGGAAUUGCAUUUGUGACUGCACGGCUAGAGUGUGUCAGAGGGGGGGUAGAAUUCCACGUGUAGCAGUGAAAUGCGUAGAUAUGUGGAGGAAUACCUAUGGCGAAGGCAGCCCCCUGGGAUAACACUGACGCUCAUGCACGAAAGCGUGGGGAGCAAACAGGAUUAGAUACCCUGGUAGUCCACGCCCUAAACGAUGUCUACUAGUUGUCGGGUCUUAAUUGACUUGGUAACGCAGCUAACGCGUGAAGUAGACCGCCUGGGGAGUACGGUCGCAAGAUUAAAACUCAAAGGAAUUGACGGGGACCCGCACAAGCGGUGGAUGAUGUGGAUUAAUUCGAUGCAACGCGAAAAACCUUACCUACCCUUGACAUGUACGGAAUCCUGAAGAGAUUUAGGAGUGCUCGAAAGAGAGCCGUAACACAGGUGCUGCAUGGCUGUCGUCAGCUCGUGUCGUGAGAUGUUGGGUUAAGUCCCGCAACGAGCGCAACCCUUGUCAUUAGUUGCUACGAAAGGGUACUCUAAUGAGACUGCCGGUGACAAACCGGAGGAAGGUGGGGAUGACGUCAAGUCCUCAUGGCCCUUAUGGGUAGGGCUUCACACGUCAUACAAUGGUACAUACAGAGGGCCGCCAACCCGCGAGGGGGAGCUAAUCCCAGAAAGUGUAUCGUAGUCCGGAUUGGAGUCUGCAACUCGACUCCAUGAAGUUGGAAUCGCUAGUAAUCGCGGAUCAGCAUGUCGCGGUGAAUACGUUCCCGGGUCUUGUACACACCGCCCGUCACACCAUGGGAGCGGGUUCUGCCAGAAGUAGUUAGCCUAACCGUAAGGAGGGCGAUUACCACGGCAGGGUUCGUGACUGGGGUGAAGUCGUAACAAGGUAACCGUA
rnacentral:rRNA from 1 species